rnacentral:rRNA from 1 species
AACGUACGCUGGCGGCACGCCUAACACAUGCAAGUCGAACGAAGUAGCAAUACUUAGUGGCAGACGGGUGAGUAACAUGUAGGUAUCUGCCCUUUGGCCUGGAAUAACACGAGGAAACUUGUGCUAAUACCGGAUAAGUCUUUACGGAGAAAGCUUUAUGCACCAUUGGAUGAGCCUGCACUUGAUUAGUUUGUUGGUAGGGUAAUGGCCUACCAAGACUGUGAUCAAUAGCUGAUUUGAGAGGAUGAUCAGCCACACUGGAAUUGAGAUACGGUCCAGACUCCUACGGGAGGCAGCAGUAAGGAAUUUUGCACAAUGGGCGAAAGCCUGAUGCAGCAACGCCGCGUGAACGAUGAAGUUUUUAGGAAUGUAAAGUUCUGUCGUAUGGGAAGAGAUCUUUCGAAUGUUAAUACCAUUCGUUAAUGACGGUACCAUACAAGAAAGCACCGGCUAACUUCG